rnacentral:tRNA from 1 species
GGGGUUAGUUAAAAAUAACAUCAGAAUGUCAAACUGAAAUUACUAUAAAAUUAGUACUCCUUAAUUC